GGCCCUUCGGGGUACACGAGCGGCGAACGGGUGAGUAACACGUGGGUGAUCUGCCUUGCACUUCGGGAUAAGCCUGGGAAACCGGGUCUAAUACCGGAUAUGACCACUGAUCGCAUGGUUGGUGGUGGAAAGAUUUAUCGGUGCGAGAUGGGCCCGCGGCCUAUCAGCUUGUUGGUGAGGUAACGGCUCACCAAGGCGACGACGGGUAGCCGACCUGAGAGGGUGACCGGCCACACUGGGACUGAGACACGGCCCAGACUCCUACGGGAGGCAGCAGUGGGGAAUAUUGCACAAUGGGCGAAAGCCUGAUGCAGCGACGCCGCGUGCGGGAUGACGGCCUUCGGGUUGUAAACCGCUUUUGACAGGGACGAAGCGCAAGUGACUGUACCUGUAGAAUAAGGACCGGCCAACUACGUGCCAGCAGCCGCGGUAAUACGUAGGGUCCGAGCGUUGUCCGGAAUUACUGGGCGUAAAGAGCUUGUAGGCGGUUCGUCGCGUCGUUUGUGAAAACUUGGGGCUCAACCUUAAGCUUGCAGGCGAUACGGGCGGACUAGAGUACUUCAGGGGAGACUGGAAUUCCUGGUGUAGCGGUGAAAUGCGCAGAUAUCAGGAGGAACACCGGUGGCGAAGGCGGGUCUCUGGGAAGUAACUGACGCUGAGAAGCGAAAGCAUGGGUAGCAAACAGGAUUAGAUACCCUGGUAGUCCAUGCCGUAAACGGUGGGUACUAGGUGUGGGGCUCCUUCCACGGACUCCGUGCCGUAGCUAACGCAUUAAGUACCCCGCCUGGGGAGUACGGCCGCAAGGCUAAAACUCAAAGAAAUUGACGGGGGCCCGCACAAGCGGCGGAGCAUGUGGAUUAAUUCGAUGCAACGCGAAGAACCUUACCUGGGUUUGACAUACACCGGAAACCUGCAGAGAUGUAGGCCCCCUUGUGGUCGGUGUACAGGUGGUGCAUGGCUGUCGUCAGCUCGUGUCGUGAGAUGUUGGGUUAAGUCCCGCAACGAGCGCAACCCUUAUCUUAUGUUGCCAGCGCGUAAUGGCGGGGACUCGUGAGAGACUGCCGGGGUCAACUCGGAGGAAGGUGGGGACGACGUCAAGUCAUCAUGCCCCUUAUGUCCAGGGCUUCACACAUGCUACAAUGGCCGGUACAGAGGGCUGCGAUACCGCGAGGUGGAGCGAAUCCCUUAAAGCCGGUCUCAGUUCGGAUCGGGGUCUGCAACUCGACCCCGUGAAGUUGGAGUCGCUAGUAAUCGCAGAUCAGCAACGCUGCGGUGAAUACGUUCCCGGGCCUUGUACACACCGCCCGUCACGUCAUGAAAGUCGGUAACACCCGAAGCCGGUGGCCUAACCCC
rnacentral:rRNA from 1 species